rnacentral:SRP_RNA from 2 species
GCUGGGUGUGGUGGCUCACACCUGUAAUCCCAGCACUUUGGGAGGCCGAGGUGGGCGGAUCACCUGAGGUCAGGAGUUCAAGACCAGCCUGACCAACAUGGUGAAACCCCAUCUCUA